UGCAGUGCUCGCUUUGGCAACACACUAAAAUUCAAACAAUACACAGAUUAGCAUGGCCCCUGCCCAAGGAUAACAGGCAAAUUCCUGAGUUUUCCAUAUCUUU